ACGUAGGAGGCAAGCGUUAUUCGGAUUUACUGGGCGUAAAGCGCGUGCAGGCGGUUCGGUAAGUUGGAUGUGAAAGCUCCUGGCUUAACUGGGAGAGGUCGUUCAAUACUACCGAACUAGAGGAUGAGAGAGGGAGGUGGAAUUCCGAGUGUAGUGGUGGAAUGCGUAGAUAUUCGGAGGAACACCAGUGGCGAAAGCGGCCUCCUGGCUCAUAACUGACGCUCAGACGCGAAAGCUAGGGUAGCAAACGG
rnacentral:rRNA from 1 species